rnacentral:lncRNA from 1 species
UUUUGAAAGUGGAAGAGAGAGGGGAAGGCGGAGUAAGAACAGGAGGUGCUCCCUUCCUUUGGAGUCUUGUAUUUUAUCGCUUCAUCUUCCCACUACUGCCUCCUUUCAUUCUGCCGAGCAGAGCCUACUUUCUUCCGUGGCAUUUGGGUUUGGCACCGAGUACCUGGUCCGCUUUGAGGAGCAAGGCCUGGGGCUGCAAUGGAGCAACAUUGGGAAGAGUCCCCUGGAAGGGGAUGAGUUCAGUUUCCUGCUGUCUAUGAAGAUGAUGCUUCUCGAUGCUGCUCUCUACGGCUUGCUUGCUUGGUAUCUUGACCAGGUUUUCCCAGG